UCCACGUGAAAAAUUUAUACAAUCAAACACAAUAAUUUACAAUUUUCAUGAAAACAAUUUCUAGGUAAUUCAAUUCCCUGGAAUUCAUUUUCUUUCCACCUAAAUUUUAUCUUCGCAAUCAAACAGACCCUUGUGGUUUUAGAGUAUAUUCUUCUCAGUUUCACCCGUCUUUUAAAUCCAAAAAUAGAAAUGGCAGUUUUCUUGCUCUUUACUACCACAUUCAAUCACUCACACACUUACACUACUUUCAAUUUCUUCACCUCACUGCAAAAUUUCUGUGGGGAUUCAUUCUCCAAUUUAAAGGCUAAAGGAAGAAUUCACAGAAUAUGUUGUAGGAAGGUUCGAGUUGUGUCGUCGCAUUCCAAUCCCAAAAUUCUGAAGCGCAAUCGUAAAUCCAGGUAUGGACAGCCAUUGUCUCCUUAUGACAGUGAAGAAGAAAAAGAAGUUGAUGAUGACGACAGUGGUGGUGACGAUUGGAUUUCUGAUGUGAGUUUCUUUCUCUUCUCUUCUCUUCUCUUUUUUUUUUAUUUUUUUUUUUAAAUUUUGAUUUAUUAUUUUUUGUUUCUAAUGAUAUUUAUGCUACUUUAAGGUCUGAAGAAAGAAAUAAAAUGGGUUUCUACAAGAGAUUUUAUUUGUUAUCCUGCAGGCUAAUAAGCAUUUUCGGCUCAGAUGUUCGAUUAUUGUAAAAAGAAAAAUGGACAAAUGCAGAAUUGGAAGUCUAAAAUAGCAAUCUUUACUUGAUAGUGUGCACUCAUCAAAUCACAAAUUGAAGAAAUUGAAGAGGAUAUUCAAUGCUCUGCUGUCAGUUAAUGUAAAUUAUAUAUAUGUGGUUUGAAAUAUGAACUUGCUUGCAAAUAGGACAACUGUGGAAUGUCUUUUAAAUUAAGUGAUUAUUGGAUUAACUUUGGCAUGUAGUGCAGGGAAGUGUAAUUUAUUUAUAUAUAUUGGUCUGGGACACAGUUUUGAAAAUUGUCUAUGUUAAAUCCACUCGUAAAUUUUAGGGAAUAGAGAGCUCUAUUAGUUUAUGCAAAAUUUAUGGCGUCAUUGAUGUUCUGCAAAACUUGACAUUAUAGGGUCUUGUAUAUCAAUCCUUUAAAAAGGAUGUUUUGUGGCCUCCAAACUACUGGUGCCAUAGUAAUUUUGUCAAUGGAAAUAUGCUGUAGUUACAUGUCAGUCAGUCACUGAUGCAAGGAUAAUAAAUCCACAAUGAAAUUCAACUUGAUAUAAUUUAUUUGUUUGCCACUUUCUGAUGGUCAUUUUUUUUGGGUUGGGAUACAGGAAGAGUUUGCAGACAACAAAAUUUCUGAAGCUGAUAGACAAAAGUUAAAGAUGCAGAAUUCGACCAAGAUGAAACAAGGUAUUUGUAAUUUUUUGAAUAGUAUCAAAGAGUUGAAGGAGUCAAGGAAUGUAAAGUCGUGGUUCACAGUCCAUCCUUUAUUACUAGAAGAAGGGGCUUGGAUGUAAAGUUAUGUUGGCAAUGUGGUCCUAUUCAACUGAACCAUGUGGAAUUCUCAUGCAUUCACCAUUAACUAGGUUUUUUGGGGGGUAGUUGACACAGACUCAUUUUCUCUUGAUCUUCUUUUCUCGCAAUAUUGUCUGAUUAGGUUUUUCAGUCUUCUUUGAAGUUACCGUUGAUAUCUCGUUUCUUAGAGAUUUUCUGGUCUAUGUUGUUUGGUCUAACUGAUGACUUAAUGGCUUAGUCCCUAGUGUUUGGACGGAAUGAGUGCUGUAUAUUCUUGAGAGGUUUGAGAGGGUUACUAUGUUGUAUCAUUGUGAAUAUUUGUUAACUUCGUGACCAUUUCUGGUGUUCUGUGUUAUGAUUUCUGCAGUGCUUGUGAAAAUUUACCGAUUUCGUGGUGCUUGGAUUCUAUACAGUAGGAUUAAUCGAUUUAAGGUAAAGCUCAUUGUGCAGGCAGUCGCAGGCAUCUGGAGAGAGGUGGAGGUGCAAGCUCUUUAAAUUCUGGACGAAACCUUGAAACAAGGCAACACAAGUUGGGUAUAAAGAAUGGCAAAGACAUCCUAAAAAAGAGAGAGAGUAGCAUUUCGUAUAACACUUCCAGGCAAUCAGCAAGCAUUUCUUCUUUAGGUGAUAGCAGAGAAAAGGUAUCAAUCAUCACAACUGUCAGAUGUAACUUUUGAGUGGUAAUGACCACCACAAUGUUUGUUGUUUUAUCUGAUUGUGUUGGAUGAAUUGGUUUUACCAAUUAUUUUAUUUGGUACCAUUAGUUGGACAAAAGUUCUCUUUGGCCUAGUGUAUUCUACUCCAAGAGUGGAUUAAUGAUAUGUAUUUAUUAUUGCAAAACCAAUUAAGGGUGAAUGAGAAAUUACUGCCGAAAGAUGAACACUUGAAGUUGAAAUAAAGUGGGAAUGAAAAUUGGUGGGAAAUUGGAGAAUCCCAACCUACAUGCUAGUAGCUUGAGCCAAAACCCACAUGCGCUCUGUCGGUCGACAUGGCACCGAAAUUUUGCCCAAUUGUUUAGUCACUAUAAAAGAUCAUUUUGAAUAUAAAUUAUUGCAUCAGGUAACUAUAAUCACAACUGUUAAAUAUGAUUUUGUGUAGUAAUGACCGCCAUAAUGUUUAUUGUUUUAUCUGAUUGCACCAGGAAGCAGAAAGUUCUUCUAAGAAAAGAUUCACUCAUUUGUCAGAAGAACUAGACUUAGACGAUAGGUGGUUACCGCUUCUGGAUCAUUUGAGCACUUUUGGUCUUAAGGAAUCACAUUUUAUUCAAAUGUAUGAAAGGCAUAUGCCAUCCCUUCAGAUAAAUGUUGACUCUGCUGAGGAAAGAUUGGGAUAUUUGUUAAGUGUUGGCGUCAAACACAGAGAUAUCAGAAAAAUAAUUUUGAGACAGCCUCAAAUUUUGGGGUACACCAUCGAAAACAAUCUGAAGUCUCAUGUUGCCUUUUUGGGAAGAUUGGGCAUUCCAGAAUCGAGAAUAGGGCAAAUAAUUACUGCCACCCCAUCCAUGUUCUCUUACAGUAUUGAUAAUUCUUUAAAACCUACAGUCAAGUACCUUCUUGAGGAGAUAGGAAUCGAGAAGCAUGAUCUGAGUAAAGUUGUGCAGUUAAGCCCUCAAAUUCUGGUUCAGCGGAUAGACAAUACAUGGACUGCUCGUUUCAAUUUUCUGACAAAAGAAUUGGGAGCACCCAGAGAGAGUAUAGUAAAGAUGGUCACUAAACACCCUCAAAUACUACACUACAGCAUUGAAGAUGGAUUACGCCCCAGGAUCAAUUUCUUAAGAGGCAUUGGGAUGUGCAUCUCUGAUAUACUGAAAGUAUUAACUAGCCUUACACAGGUCAGCUGGAUUCUCUUGUGCAAUUGAUUUUGUACCUCAAACUACAAGCUCGACCAACUUGUCCUCAAAAUUGAAUCCAUGCCUUUUACCUUUUCAUACAGAUCUUGUUUUGCUUAACAUCACAAUCAAAUUAAAUUUUCAGAUGAUGCCAUCUGUGCUUGCAGGUAUUCUCUCUGUCAUUGGAGGGAAAUCUGAAACCUAAAUACAUGUACUUGAUCAAUGAACUUAAAAAUGAGGUCCAUUCCCUGACCAAAUAUCCGACAUACCUAAGCUUGUCUCUUGACCAGCGAAUUCGUCCUCGCCAUAGGUUUUUGGUUUCCUUGAAGAAAGCUCCGAAAGGGCCAUUUCCUUUGAGCUCACUGGUUCCAACUGAUGAAAACUUUUGCCACCAGUGGGCAGGAACUAGCUUAGACAAAUAUCUGGAUUUCCGGGAGAGAUUGCUGCUCAAAGAGUUUGCAAAGAAGUACGAAAGACAAUGAUUAGUUCCAUUCUCAUUCCUAGUCUACUUGGUAAUAGAUCACACACAUUACAGCAAAUUGAGAUGCAUAUACUCUUUUCCUGGGAACACUUGAAUAUUAAGGUGAGUCAGAUGUUCAUGAUAAUUGACACAUACAUUUAUAUCGAAGAAACAUGUAUAAUGUUAAUUUCUGUUUUAUAUCUGUGCUAGCUGUUUCUAAAUUUUGCUAU
rnacentral:lncRNA from 1 species